CAAGGAUUGAACACAGGGCCACCCUGGGUCUUUUUGAUCUGCGUGCUCAGCUGUGAGAAUGGAUGACUGUUACCAUCACUAAUUCGUGCUACUCAACACAGUAAAAAUAGCAAUGGAGCAAAAGGUCUAUGAAUGGAGGGUCCAUCUCUUCUGCCAGUGAUGACUUCUCAACCUACGAUGCAGCGCGGCACACAGUUGCAGUGUUCACAGACGAAGGAGGCAUGGAAAGGCACAGGCAGGCACUUUGCCGGUGAGCUAAAUCCCCAGCCCCUCUCUUAUUGUUAAAAGCAUAAUUUCUCUAAUGUUCCUAGGUUUUCAGGAGUAAGAUGACUUAAACCAAGGGAAAUUUACCAUUGAACCUUGUACCAGCCCUUCUGAAUCUCGAAAUUGAAUUACAGAUGCAUUUCAGUUCAAAGAUGACACAGAUAAAUUAGGGGUGGUGGUGCAUGCUUGUAAUUCCAACACUCAGGAGGCUGCAAGUAGGAUGACUGCUUCAAGCUCAAGGCCAGCCUGGGCUACAUGGUACAGUCUUGAAGACUCUCCUGGCUCUCUUUCCUGCCAACUGAAUGUCAUCAGUACUGUGGUCUGUGAGGAUGGCAGAAGCACAAGACAGAAGGCACACCUGAGUCUCUGAACUCAAAGGUGGAGCGUUACCACAAAUACCUCCUUUCAACAAGAGCAAGAAAUAAACUUCUGUUGUAUUUGAA